UUCGCAAUGCCCGAAAGGGUGACGAAGCGACGCCGCGUGGGUGAGGAAGGCCCUCGGGUUGUAAAGCCCUGUCAGGAGUUAAGAAAUGUAAGUGCGCUAAUAUCGCAUUUAUUUGACGAAGGCUCCAAAGGAAGCCACGGCUAACUCUGUGCCAGCAGCCGCGGUAAUACAGAGGUGGCAAGCGUUGUUCGGAAUUAUUGGGCGUAAAGAGCACGUAGGUGGGUUUGUAAGUCAGAUGUGAAAGCCUUCUGUUCAACGGAAGAAUUGCAUCUGAAACUACAAGUCUUGAGUGUAGGAGGGGAGAAUGGAACUUCUGGUGGAGCGGUGAAAUGCGUAGAUAUCAGAAGGAACGCCGGCGGCGAAAGCGAUUCUCUGGCCUAUUACUGACACUCAGUAUGCGAAAGCUAGGGGAGCAAACGGGAUUAGAUACCCCGGUAGUCCUAGCCGUAAACGAUGGGCACUAAGUAGAGGGGUUUU
rnacentral:rRNA from 1 species